rnacentral:rRNA from 1 species
AACUGCGAAUGGCUCAUUAUAUAAGUUAUCGUUUAUUUGAUAAUACUUUACUACUUGGAUAACCGUGGUAAUUCUAGAGCUAAUACAUGCUAAAAAUCCCGACUUCGGAAGGGUUGUAUUUAUUAGAUUAAAAACCAAUGCCCCUCGGGGCUCUCUGGUGAAUCAUAAUAACUAGUCGAAUCGACAGGCCUUGUGCCGGCGAUGGCUCAUUCAAAUUUCUUCCCUAUCAACUUUCGAUGUUUGGGUCUUGUCCAAACAUGGUGGCAACGGGUAACGGAGGGUUAGGGCUCGACCCCGGAGAAGGAGCCUGAGAAACGGCUACUACAUCCAAGGAAGGCAGCAGGCGCGCAAAUUACCCAAUCCCGACACGGGGAGGUAGUGACAAUAAAUACUGAUACAGGGCUCUUUUGGGUCUUGUAAUCGGAAUGAGUACAAUUUAAAUCCCUUAACGAGGAACAAUUGGAGGGCAAGUCUGGUGCCAGCAGCCGCGGUAAUUCCAGCUCCAAUAGCGUAUAUUAAAGUUGUUGUGGUUAAAAAGCUCGUAGUUGAACCUUGGGCCUGGCUGGCCGGUCCGCCUCACCGCGUGCACUGGUCCGGCCGGGCCUUUCCCUCUGCGGAACCCCAUGCCCUUCACUGGGUGUGGCGGGGAAACAGGACAUUUACUGUGAAAAAAUUAGAGUGCUCAAGGCAGGCCUAUGCUCGAAUACAUUAGCAUGGAAUAAUAGAAUAGGACGUGUGGUUCUAUUUUGUUGGUUUCUAGGACCGCCGUAAUGAUUAAUAGGG